rnacentral:lncRNA from 1 species
CAAAACUCGGAUUCACAUAGGAAGUACGAGGUGAUUUUGCACGUGUCCUUGGUCGUUUCCGACUCCACUUCAACUCCUCCACGUGACCAGCUGCCACUCAGCCCCGCCGCAGCGGCGCUCCUCUCGCCGCCGCCGCCCUUGCCCCUUCGGUCCCUCCCUUCGAUGGUUCGCCCGUGCUUCUCGCUGGCUCCGCACCGUCACGGUCAUCCUUCGUCCGCUCCGCCGACUGCUCGGGUAAGGAAUAGCGGGUGAUUUCUUUGUUUGGAAUUUGGGAAGCAAUCCACUAAGAUCUCGGAAUCCUCUCCACCUCUCUGUUUUUAAGAGAGAUCUACGUACUAAUUAGUCCACGGGAAUGAUUCGGUUGCUUAGUAAUUAUAAUCCACGCAGUGUUCUGGAACUGAAUCUGUAAUUUUGUGUUUUCAAGCUAGUUGCUGCAUGUUAAUGACUUUGCAUCUGAGAUUUAGUGGUUGCAAAUGUCACCAUUUUGUUAGAUGAAGAAGAACUCGGCAUUGAUUAUGUUUUUUUGUCGUGCUUUCUCUAAUUGAGCAUGCUGUCCAUUAUAGAAAAUUUUCACUAAUUUAAUUAAUUAAUUAAGCGGCAGGUCAUGACAGUUUAUACGUUAAGAAAAAGUUACAGGAAAAAAAGUUCGGAAACACCGGUGGUUCACCUUAAUUCUGACUUGAUGGGCAGGUUUAUACACUCAAAGUCAAAUAUUAUGAUGUUCUGACGAAUUGCAGGCUCAUGACUUAUUAUGAGCUUCUUCAUUUCUAAAUGACGCUGACUGACAAGGGAUGAGCUUUGUUGCCUCCUUUUAAAACUUCCUGUCCAACUUGCAGAGUUUGUGUUCAGGUGGUCCCUGUUCUUGUUCAAUAGUAGUAGUAACUUCAAAUCAAGAUUCUGAACAUUUUCUUUUACUUUCUGUUCAAGAAAAUGUUCUUUUUGUUUCACGUAUAAAAAUAUUGGCCGUAUGGUCAGACAGUAGAACUGUAGAAUAUAAGAUUAUACACUUUUAUAUAUAAAUAGCAUUGCAGUUCUGAUGGAUCUUUGUUUUCCUUUUCCAUCUCUGAAAAAUUGCUUGUUUUGUUUUUCUUUUCAGUUGGCCACUAGCAGUGUCGAGUGAAUGUGACUACCAAUUCCCAUUUUUAUCCUGUUCCUGAACCUGAAGAGAGACUGCCAAGCUCUUGCUGACAUGCUUCUUGUUGAAUGCUUCUGUUCCAUUUCCAGCGAUGAGGAUGGCACCUUGCUGUUCAGAGUUCAGACUCCAGAGGCGUAUCUUUGCCUGCAUUAUUAUUCUUCCCACCCAGAACGACUAUCUGAACGGUGCCAAGUCGCCUUUCGACACUUGCUGCUCUGGAUUGAAAAGAAUCAUACAUGGGAAUAGCAGGUGAUAGCUGGACUCCCUUGUGCAUCUUCUUCUGUUGUCUGCGUGCUUUAUCGGGCCGUGCAGACCCGCAUCAUACGUUUCUAUGAUCAAGUUCGUUCAUGGAGAAUUAUUGGUGUGCGAGGCUUAAUUGCAGCAUGUUGCUGCCACCGCACAUUAGGAGACGCAACCAUACCUUGUUUAAUUCUUGUAUAAAGUCUAGCAGCUCAUUGGCACCACUAUGCAAGGAGAGUGGUGCAGAAAAGAGGUGCAUUAGCUGUACUCGUGUUGUUCUUUUCAUAUAUUCUUCUAGAACAUGAGGCAUGCAUAUUUUUAUAUACUUUUCUGUUGAUUUGGUGUGGAGGAAAAAAGAAAUACAUACAUAGGGAUAGGGGGGAUGUUUUGUUUUAGAGACAUACUAAUUAAACCAGCUUACAUCAUUGUAGGUUUUGGUUAUGGCCAUUAAUUAGCUUGGCCUGAGUGAUGGGCAAAUCAUUGUGUCCACCCUGUCUACAGCAUGUGCAGCAAUUGCUGCGUUGAUGCUGCAUGAGUGGUGUGGUUAGACAAAUAUUCCUCCAUUCUGGAGUUUAGGCCACAUAACACAUUCCUCUGCCGCAUUGUUAUAUAGGAUAUAUAGGAUACUACUCACCACAUGCAUGAUAGAUGGGCAUGCAGGAGCAGCCAUGCCAAUGCCAUGCAUUGCCAACAAAUGAUCAGUUGGGUUGAGGCUACAAUGCCAUACCAAGGUCACCUGCUCUCAGCAUCUGCUCGAGGAAUGUGAGUUGGCAAGCUGUUGGCUCGGAAAGCUUGCAGCAGCUAGCAGCCUAGCAUAGCAACGCUUGCCUGUGCUGUGAUCGAUAUAUACUACAUGUUCCUGCUCCUUUAUGUUUAGCUCAACUUAGGUAGUGAUGAUUGCUGGAUAUUAUUCUUUACUGAGAUGUUAUAUAUGGUUGGAGAUUUUGCUAGGAAGAUAACAUGUGAGCAUGUGCACUCUUUUUCUUAACAAUAGACACCUGUAUUGUAUUGUAUUGUAUUGUGACAACAGAAUAUGCACUGCACACACAUUCCUGAUAUUCUAGAUACGAGUACGAGUACUAGGGAAGCAGGUUUUUUUUUUCUUCUGUUUGCUGUCAUAUGGCCCAUACUUCAUCCAUUCCAAAAUAAAUCAACUUGUGGCUAAGAAGUUGAUUUAUUUUGGAACAGAGGGAGUACACGAUAACUUGGAACCCCCAUCUGGUCAGUAUAUAGCUUAUGAGUUAGAGCAGCAUUCAUUAAUUAAUAUCUACAAACACAGAAGGAGAUUUGCAAGCAACAUUAAAAGCACAGGGCACUGAAGAACAACAAUGACCAGAAGUUACAGUAGAUUUUUUUUUUACAUGGCAAUGGCUAAUGAACGAACCUACUACAGGUGGUCAACGAGGAGAGGAGGAGAUGGCCAUACGGAGAAGGCAAAAACAAGGGCCAAAAAAAUAGCCUUCCCAUUGAUUGAUCUAUCUCCUCAGAAUGAACGCGUGCUUGCUUGAUGCUUCUUC